AUAACGCCUAUAGGACGGAUAUAUCCGCCAGACUGUACAGUGCAUGCUGAGGUGACUUCAAACUUUCGUCAUUCAGUCAAUCCUUGUUCGAAUUCAACAAACGAAAGGUCUAAUCGUAUCAGAAAAGCCUCAGCUGUCGGCUCCAAAAAACCCGAAGACGAUCCGAGGUCAUGGCGCAGAGUUACGACACUCGAACGAAAUUCGCGUGGGCGAGUCGGCUCGCGCGGCGUAAAAUUUGAAACGCCAGCAAGGGAUUUUCCCUGACUCGCUGGCGACGCGUGCACGACUGGCAUACGUCAUUUUCAAGCUGCAUUUUGAAGCUCUCUCCUGCAAAAAAAUUGACCGUUCUGCGAUCGAUAUUGUUGAAAUGGCUGAGAAUUUAGUACCGCGCUCGCAGGUCUGGCAUUGGAGCGCUCAGAUCGCGCUGCGGCGUUACUCCUACGACUCUAUCAAUUGAGAACUGGGUAUGGCUGUGUUCGUCUUGGAGAGAGCUUUCCAUAGAGCCCGAGAUUGUUGGAAUACUCCAAAGGAUAUCGAAAUUACAGUCAAAUGAAAAUGUUCCUGCGGCAAUGGCACAGCUUUCUGCUUUGAGAAUGGUGAUGCAGUUCUGCAGCAGUUAUCUCUAGGACAGGGCUUCGAUCAGAUCUGCUUUGACUUUGGAAUCUUGCUGGCGUUGUUCUUCGCCUUCUUCAUUUCCGGACUUCUGAUACUGGUGUUGCGUAUCCGCUACAUCAAGCGCUAAUGUCUGCCAGGCGCAAUGCGUUGACGUGUCACUCUAAGGUGCUAAACCUGACUUGAUGAUGGUGCUGUUCUAGUGUUGAGAUGAUUCAGUAUUCCGCUAUGUUUGUCAGUGUCUUUCAUGUUGCUAUUUUGUUAGUCAUACAGCCCAUAUACACUCCUUAAUGUCAACUUCAGUAGUGGACAUUCCCAGACAAGUAUUCUGCCUGUCAUGUGUGUGUGUGUGUGUGUGUGUCUGUGUGUGUUGUUGUGUGUGUGUGUGUGUGUGUGUGUGUGUGUAUGUGUAUGUGUGUGCAUGUGUGUGAGGUCAAUUUAGUUCUUGUUUAUCUGUUGUUGUGGUGUGUUGUGUGCCGUGGUCAAGUGUGUGUGUGUGUUUCCAUUACGUUCAUAUCUGCAAGUGUGUAGUGUAUAUGUAUGCUGGUAUGUAGCUGCUGGGUCAGACUAUAGUUAUGUUUGGAGAUUCUAGUUUAGAUCAUUUUAUGUGCAGCCUGAUUAGAAUGUCAUGUGAAUUUCAGUACACUUGCAAACACUACAUACAUUGUUACUAGUAAACAGUGCUCUCUUUGUCAUUUCCAACAACUGCUGCUAUUAUGCAGUGUAUGGCAUGUCAGUGACUCAGUUGUUUUUUUAUAGUUUUUCAGUGUCUGCUGUUUUAUUUUUGUUGCUAAAGUAAUGCAGGGUUUAUACAAACGCUGACUGUUGUGUCAUGGCUACAAGUGAGAAGAUCUUCAACCCUGCUGA